rnacentral:rRNA from 1 species
GUACGGCCGCAAGGUUAAAACUCAAAUGAAUUGACGGGGGCCCGCACAAGCGGUGGAGCAUGUGGUUUAAUUCGAUGCAACGCGAAGAACCUUACCUGGUCUUGACAUCCACGGAAGUUUUCAGAGAUGAGAAUGUGCCUUCGGGAACCGUGAGACAGGUGCUGCAUGGCUGUCGUCAGCUCGUGUUGUGAAAUGUUGGGUUAAGUCCCGCAACGAGCGCAACCCUUAUCCUUUGUUGCCAGCGGUCCGGCCGGGAACUCAAAGGAGACUGCCAGUGAUAAACUGGAGGAAGGUGGGGAUGACGUCAAGUCAUCAUGGCCCUUACGACCAGGGCUACACACGUGCUACAAUGGCGCAUACAAAGAGAAGCGACCUCGCGAGAGCAAGCGGACCUCAUAAAGUGCGUCGUAGUCCGGAUUGGAGUCUGCAACUCGACUCCAUGAAGUCGGAAUCGCUAGUAAUCGUGGAUCAGAAUGCCACGGUGAAUACGUUCCCGGGCCUUGUACACACCGCCCGUCACACCAUGGGAGUGGGUUGCAAAAGAAGUAGGUAGCUUAACCUUCGGGAGGGCGCUUACCACUUUGUGAUUCAUGACUGGGGUGAAGUCGUAACAAGGUAACCGUA